rnacentral:ncRNA from 1 species
CCCACAGACACGGGGUGUCCCGCCACGCAGCAACUGCGCUGCGCCGGGGCUGAGAUCACACCCGCUGAACCUGACCUCAUUCACAUGAGCGGAGGAAUGUCCUAUGCCGCCCGU